UUAUAGUCGUCCAAAAAAUAAAAAUAACUUGUCAAAAUAAAUUCAACAUUUUAGCCGUCAAUCGACCAAUAAUGACCAACUAAUGGGACAGAGUUCGUCUAAAUUAUGGAAAAUUUGAAUUGUCAGAUGUUCGUGAAAUUUGAAAAUUAAAUUUUUUUAAAUCUUUGGAUCUACCAGUAAUAACGUCAAAAAUAUGUUAAAAUGCGGCACAAUGGCACUGAAAAAAUAGGUACAAAUGUAUAAUGGAAAUCGUCAUUUAGUCAUCAACGAAUUAAUCAUCACGAGCAACAGAAUCAGUAUCAUCAUCAUAAUCUUAAUUAAUAUUGUUGUUAUCGUCGUCAUGGUAUUCACAUUUAUCAACAUUAUUUUCUUUACUUGGACCAUCAUCAUUAAUAUCAUUUUUUUUCUUUUAGGUUGACUUAAAAAUUGUCUAAUCAUUUUCGCAUCAGCUUCUUCAUCUUCUUUAAAAUUGUAGUCAUCAUCAUCACCUUGGUUUUGGUGGAUUAAACUUUUCAUUUAGUUUUAAUAAUUUCUCUUCUUGUUUUUGUUUUUUUUCAAAAACUGGAAAAUCUUAUUAUCUUGGUAAAUUGUUAAACUGAACAACACUCAAGCUACUCUCACUUCAACAUUGUAAAAGUGUGUACCUGGGCCCGGGCAAUGAGACCUUUUUCGGAAAACUUAGGUAGUAUAAGCGAAACCUUCGAAGGGUAAACUUAUAUCGGUCUUCACACUCUUAUAUAUAUAUAUUUCCAAUAUUUCAAAUAAACUUAAGUUAAUUGUA